CCUGAGUUGGUGUAGUGGUCAGCACAUCUGGAGUAUCACUGGUGGGCGAAGCUUAAGCUGAACUUACUUGCCCUUCAGGGGGGCAGAAGACUUGGGUUCGAAUCCUAAACUUGGGG